UACGAAGGGUGCAAGCGUUAAUCGGAAUUACAGGGCGUAAAGGGUGCGUAGGCGGUUCGUUAAGUCUGUCGUGAAAUCCCCGGGCUCAACCUGGGAAUGGCGAUGGAUACUGGCGAGCUAGAGUGUGUCAGAGGAUGGUGGAAUUCCCGGUGUAGCGGUGAAAUGCGUAGAGAUCGGGAGGAACAUCAGUGGCGAAGGCGGCCAUCUGGGACAACACUGACGCUGAAGCACGAAAGCGUGGGGAGCAAACAGG
rnacentral:rRNA from 1 species